rnacentral:rRNA from 1 species
AUUGAACGCUGGCGGCAGGCCUAACACAUGCAAGUCGAGCGAGCGGCGGAAGGGUGAGUAAUGCCUGGGAAUUGCCCAGUCGAGGGGGAUAACAGUUGGAAACGACUGCUAAUACCGCAUACGAUUGGAUUGCACAUGUGGGAUUAGCUAGUGGGGGAGGUAAUGGCUCACAAGGGCGACGAUCCCUAGCUGGUCGGAGAGGAGGAGCAGCCAAACUGGAACUGAGACAAGGUCCAGACUCCUACGGGAGGCAGCAGUGGGGAUGAUUGGACAAUGGGGGAAACCCUGAUGCAGCCAUGCCGCGGGUGUGAAGAAGGCCUUCGGGUUGUAAAGCACUUUCAGCGAGGAGGCGGUACUCGCAGAAGAAGCACCGGCUAACUCCGUGCCAGCCGCCGCGGUAAUAC